GAUGAACGCUGGCGGCGUGCCUAAUACAUGCAAGUCGAGCGAACAGACGAGGAGCUUGCUCCUCUGACGUUAGCGGCGGACGGGUGAGUAACACGUGGAUAACCUACCUAUAGGACUGGGAUAACUUCGGGAAACCGGAGCUAAUACCGGAUAAUAUAUUGAACUGCAUGGUUCAAUAGUGAAAGACGGUUUUGCUGUCACUUAUAGAUGGAUCCGCGCCGCAUUAGCUAGUUGGUAAGGUAACGGCUUACCAAGGCAACGAUGCGUAGCCGACCUGAGAGGGUGAUCGGCCACACUGGAACUGAGACACGGUCCAGACUCUUACGGGAGGCAGCAGUAGGGAAUCUUCCGCAAUGGGCGAAAGCCUGACGGAGCAACGCCGCGUGAGUGAUGAAGGUCUUCGGAUCGUAAAACUCUAUUAUUAGGGAAGAACAAAUGUGUAAGUAACUAUGCACGUCUUGACGGUACCUAAUCAGAAAGCCACGGCUAACUACGUG
rnacentral:rRNA from 1 species